AGGUCAUUGCUAUCGGAGUCCGAUUUAGCCAUGCUAGUUGUACGAGUUGAGACUCGUAGCGGAAAGCUCAGUAACACGUGGUCAAGCUACCCUGUAGCGACGGAUAACCUCGGGAAACUGAGGCUAAUACGUCAUAACGUCGAUAUCUGGAGUGAUUGAGUGGAAACGCCUUUGUGCUACAGGAUGCGACUGCGGUCGAUU
rnacentral:rRNA from 1 species